rnacentral:lncRNA from 1 species
UGCGUCGCUCCACUUGAGAGAUUAAAGCUGGAAUAUAUAGUCCGUGGUGAAAAGAGGAAUAUAUUUGAGCUCAUCAAGAAAAUAGCAGUAACACAAGGCCUGAAAGGUUUUUGGAAGGGAAAUUUUGUUAACAUUCUGCGCACAGCACCUUUUAAAGCAAUCAAUUUUUAUUCUUACGAUACAUAUAGAAAGCAGCUUCUCAAAUUAUCUGGGAAUGAAGAAACCACGAAUUUUGAGAGGUUUAUUGCUGGUGCUGCAGCUGGCAUGACAGCUUCAGUACUCUGCUUGCCACUAGACACUGUGAGUGAUAGUUCUUACAUUUUUUAUCGAUUCUUUUAGUAUUUUUUGUCCAUAUCUUUAGCAUUUUUUUUUGGUUCUUGUAAAUGAAACAAUUUUGUUCUGGAGAUGAAACUAUAAAUUGAACUGAAGUUCCAGGAUUGUAGUGAUGUUGAAAAUAAGGUCAAUGUCUAUGCAUGUAAUACUGUUUUCUGUUACAAAGUACAAGCACAUUGGUUUGAAGCUUUAAGUAUUGGACCUUUGAUCAUUUUGGUUGCUGGAAAGGAAAUGGAUUUUUGUCAUUUAGAAGGAAGGAAACAGAAAUGAGAUGAAAAGUAAUUUUCCUUAAUUUGUUUACAAUAAAAUUGGCAAAUUCUUGACCACUUCUUAAUGUGAAAAUGCCAAAAAAUAUAUUUCUGUGACUUGAAUAGAGAAUUUUUGAAUGUUUUAGGUUCGGACGAGGUUGGUGGCGCCUGGUGGAGAAGCACUUGGUGGUGUAAUUGGAGCUUUUCGUCAUGUGAUUCAAACUGAAGGGUUCUUUUCUCUUUACAAGGGUUUACUCCCGUCUAUCUUGAGUAUGGCACCCUCAGGAGCUGUUUUCUAUGGGGUAUAUGACAUUUUGAAAUCGGCUUAUUUGCAUUCACCUGAAGGAAGAAAAAGAAUUCAGAACAUGAGACAACACGAUCAAGAAUUGAAUGCUUUAGAACAACUCGAGUUGGGACCAAUGAGGACUUUCCUGUAUGGAGCUAUUUCCGGUGCUUGUGCUGAAGCUGCUACCUAUCCAUUUGAGGUUGUGAGGAGGCAGCUCCAACUGCAAGGCCGAGCUACUAAAAUGAGUGCAUUGGCAACAGCCGUCAGAAUCGUUGAACGAGGAGGUCUGCCUGCUCUUUAUGCAGGUCUUUUUCCCAGUUUACUACAGGUAUGGUGUAUAUUAUGUGCGUGUUUUGUAAGGAGGAGAGAGUAUUAAGGAAUGAAAAGGAGUUAAAAUCUUGUUCAUUAUACUAUCAAAGUCCUGUGUGCCAAACAUGCACUAUAUGAAGUCUUCCUCUGGCUUCUGAUUAUUAUUUUUGCAAGGGCAUUCACCCUUUCUGAAACUUAAAGAUUGGAAUAUUUAAGCUUGCAACUCUUUAAUGUCUCCUACAUGGCCAGUUUCAAGCACGUACAUUUUUAUAUGGCUAGAUUCCUUUGCACACCUCUACAUGUUUUAGUGGAGUAGCAUCCCUCUUGUGAGUAGAAUCUUCUUUUGAUCCAUACAAGGGAUACACCAACCAACCAAGUUGUCCUGCAUUUAAUUUAUCUCAAAUCCACAUCAGCUCUGCUUGGCCUAUAUUCUUAUUUAAAAUGCAUUAAACACUUAUUCUUUGUGAAGGCAUGAUUCUCUAUAGAGGCUCAUCUGUUAUCCUUAUUCCUACUAUGGCAAAAAGGACAUUCCAUGUGCUGCCGUAGUUGUACUUAACCUACAAUUUUACGAUUUAUUUCCUUCUCAGUCUCAUCAGCUUGAACUAUAUAAUCAACGAAUAACAUGCAUCGAGGAACCUUAUAUUGGGUAUGGCUCGUUAGCUCAUAUGCUAUUAAAAUUAAGGCAGAACCUUGAUGCAAACCUAUACUGAUGAGAAAUUCUCUACUAUUACUCCCGCUAUCUCACUUGUGACUCCUCCAUCGGGGACAUCCUUUAUGUAUUGAUUAAUAUGGAAUCAACUAUUUAUGAGUCUCACAUAUGACAUUUUCAUCUGUCCUCAGGCAUCUGAAGAUCAUUUUACCAUCAUCUUGUAUGUUUGGCAUUACAUUUUCUCAUAUGGUGCACUUCAUCUCAUUCCUUGAUUGUUAUUCUUCAGGUGUUGCCUUCAGCGUCAAUAAGCUACUUUGUUUACGAGUUCAUGAAGAUUGUUCUUAAGGUGGCGUGAAUCACGGGAAGUUCAAGUUUAUAGUUAAGUAGAGGAAAUUCUCAAGAAACAGCAGAGCAAUUGGAUUCAUUCACAUGUAGCAGUUAAUAUACUCUACAGUCUCAGCAUCCUUAACUAUUCUCACCUGCAUUUGUUAUACAACUUUUCUGAAACUUGGAUCAUUUUCUACCAUAAAAUGGAAUCUUGAUUUUGCAUUUUUUUUUUCAUUGCGAAAUAAAUCCUGUACCAAUGGAUUAUAUGUUCGAGUAAAUGCAGUAGACACCAUAUUUUACUAUUGGACAGCAGUCUCCUUCAAUUAUCAAUCAAUAUGGUUGAGAGUCAAAUUCUCCAUUCAAGAAGACAAAAAAUCUUUGUGAGAAAAUGAUUUUUUUAGAUAAGUAUGAUUAAAAAUUAAAGAAAAAUUGUAGGUUAAUAUGUAAAAUUAUUUUAUUGGGAGAAUAUGUAUUUAAAAAUGAGUUUAUUUAAACUUCAUAUUUUUUAUUUUAAGAUAUGGAGAGAUUUUUUUUAAAUUAAAUAUUUAUUAAUAAAAAAUUACUAUAAAUAAAAUUUAAAAAAAUUUAUCACCACUCCCUGCACAGAGUGGAUUCACUCCAUGCAUGGAGUGUUAUCACUUUGUGUAAAAGGAGAGUUCUCUCAUUUUGAAAAGUCAAAAGGAGAAAACUCUCAUUUUGAAAGCAGAGAUUCUCUCCGUACACGAAGAGAUUUUUUUUUUUAUUUUUUAAAUUUAAUUUUUUAAAUUUUAAUAAAUUAAAUAAUAUUUAUAUAGUAUUUAUUUAAUUUUUGUAACUUUUAUUUUAUUUUAUUUUAUUUGCUUAUUUUGAUUUAAUAAAAUAAUUUUUAUACAUUACUUAUAAUAUAAAGACAUUCGUUAAAUUUGAAUUAAAUAAUAUUUAUGUUUUCUUUAAAUCAUUUUAAUUUAAUUUAAAAACUUUGUAAUAAUUUUUUUUAUUUUUAUCUACAAUUUUUUUAAAUAAUCUUUAUAUUUAAUUUCGUUUCUUUAUUAUAUAAUUUAUGGUAUUACCUUUAAUCAAGUGAAGUAGUGUAUGAAAAUUGAGAAAUAUUAUAGUGGAGGUGACAGUAAAACGGCGUGUGAAAAUGGUGAAAUGACGUGCGAAAAUAAUUCUACAGCGUCAUUGAAUAGAAUAAUUUACUGUUGUCAAACCGAUUUCAGACAAAUUUCGUGUGAAAACCUAUGUGAUAAAAAUAAACAGUAAAACUCACAUUCUCUCUUUUAAAAUAAGGAGGGAUUAUAGAUAGCUUAUAUGUUAAUUGCUAUUUAGCAACAAAAUUUUUAAUUCAAAUAUCUAGUAUAGGUAGCUUAUGUUUCACUAGAAUAUUUGCCAACAUAAUUUUUAAUUCAUAUGAAAUUUUUUGUUUUUUGUUGGAAUUUGAAAUUCUUUAUCUAAAUUUUAGCAACAUGAGAUUUUUACAAACGACAAUACGAAAGUAGACAUUUUUCUUUUUGCAAUUUCCUCUUUCUAAUUUACAAAAAAUGAGUAAAAAAAAAUAAGAAUAAAACAAAACGGAUAUCGUAAAAAAUCCGAGAAUCACCCAACUCCACGAGGGAAUACAUACUGAUUGCAGAAUUACCAUGUUUUGGCGAUGGAAGCAAAGCUAGAGCUUUGCCAUUUUCCCUCUUUCCAAUUUCUUCAUUAUCCACAAAAACUUCAAGUUAAAUACCUAAGAAUAUCAAUUCCUUUUCAGUCAAUACUCCUCUGAACAACUCGAAACGCAAUGCCAGGACUGAAUAUCCGGUUUAAGGAUGAAGAUUCGACAUCAUACCAACAAACCCAUGUUCCAUUUUUACCAGAGAACUCAAAUAAUUCAAUUUUAUGUUCCGGUGGAUUAUUCCUUGUCGAUAAUAAGAUCCCUUCAUCAAUUAUUAAUGCUAUUUUCGGUGACAAUUAUGUUCCCAUUAAACAUUCGACUGAAUUGCAUUCUCGUAGGAGGCCGGUUGUUGGGUUUGAAUUCUUGUGUUUGAGCUUAUCGAUUAAAGGGAAAGAUAUAGUUAUUAGGAAUUCGAGUGAGAGUUUGGAGCAGAAGAGUAUUAAGGAGGCUCGGGCGGCUGUUGGCGAAGGAAGUACGGCAGUGAAGGCUGGAAAAGUAUCGAAGGUUAGCUUGCGCGGCCGCGGGGCGGUGAACACUACCAAACAUUUGUGGGCUGGAGCUGUGGCUGCCAUGGUUUCAAGGUCUGUAAUUAUUAUUAUUUUUAUUUAUUUAUUUAUUUUUUUCAUCUGGUUAAGUACCCACUUACUCAAUUUCAUUAAAUGUUCGAGACUUGAACCCCAAUAUAUAUGUUUGCCCUAAUACCAUGUUGAAUCACGUGAUCUAAAUUGUUAAGUCCUCAGAGAGGAACACACAUAUGUUAUUUAUAUCUUGUCUUAACCCAUAUGGGCUAAAUAGGAUUCUACUUUACAGAUAAAAACAAUUUCAUGACAAUCAGACAAUGUUGCAACUGACUUUCCUAUGUCUUGUGGUAGAAUUUCUCAUCUAGUUUGGUUGAGUAUGUUUGUAGUCAUAUGGUUCUUUUUGCUUGUUGUUGUAACCUGUUUUUCUCUGUAUCAAUAUUCUGAUGAGAUAAAUCUGAAAUUUAUUACUUAUGAUUAUUUUAGAGGCAUGUUUUGAGUUAUCAGAAUCAUUUGGGAAAUACCUUAGUUGUCGCUUGAAGUUAUUAGAAUUACAAUAAUAUGCAUUUAUCCAGAUUGUGAUGAUCUGUACUGCAAUUCAAGGAUCUCUUUUGUUUGCUCUCUGUUGAUCUCACUUUCUUGCAAACUACCAUCUUGUUGUUGGGUCUGUUUUUUAGUUGACACCGAGAACCUACACUCAGCAUUUAAAUGAUGUACCUAUUAUUAUUAUUAUUUUUUUUUUUUAAAUUUAUUUUCACUAGUACUUCAUCUGUGUAAAUAGUUUUCUUUGAUCAGAACUUGCGUCGCUCCACUUGAGAGAUUAAAGCUGGAAUAUAUAGUCCGUGGUGAAAAGAGGAAUAUAUUUGAGCUCAUCAAGAAAAUAGCAGUAACACAAGGCCUGAAAGGUUUUUGGAAGGGAAAUUUUGUUAACAUUCUGCGCACAGCACCUUUUAAAGCAAUCAAUUUUUAUUCUUACGAUACAUAUAGAAAGCAGCUUCUCAAAUUAUCUGGGAAUGAAGAAACCACGAAUUUUGAGAGGUUUAUUGCUGGUGCUGCAGCUGGCAUGACAGCUUCAGUACUCUGCUUGCCACUAGAC